rnacentral:rRNA from 1 species
GACGAACGCUGGCGGCGUGCCUAAUACAUGCAAGUAGAACGCUGAAGAGAAGAGCUUGCUCUUCUUGGAUGAGUUGCGAACGGGUGAGUAACGCGUAGGUAACCUGCCUGGUAGCGGGGGAUAACUAUUGGAAACGAUAGCUAAUACCGCAUGAUAUUAAUUGUCGCAUGAUAAUUAAUUGAAAGAUGCAAUUGCAUCACUACCAGAUGGACCUGCGUUGUAUUAGCUAGUUGGUGAGGUAACGGCUCACCAAGGCGACGAUACAUAGCCGACCUGAGAGGGUGAUCGGCCACACUGGGACUGAGACACGGCCCAGACUCCUACGGGAGGCAGCAGUGGGGAAUCUUCGGCAAUGGGGGGAACCCUGACCGAGCAACGCCGCGUGAGUGAAGAAGGUUUUCGGAUCGUAAAGCUCUGUUGUAGGAGAAGAACGGGUGUGAGAGUGGAAAGUUCACACUGUGACG